rnacentral:rRNA from 2 species
UACGUAGGGUGCGAGCGUUGUCCGGAAUUAUUGGGCGUAAAGAGCUCGUAGGCGGUGUGUCGCGUCGGCCGUGAAAACCUGGGGCUCAACUCUGGGCGUGCGGUCGAUACGGGCAUCACUUGAGUUCGGCAGGGGAGACUGGAAUUCCUGGUGUAGCGGUGAAAUGCGCAGAUAUCAGGAGGAACACCGGUGGCGAAGGCGGGUCUCUGGGCCGAUACUGACGCUGAGGAGCGAAAGCAUGGGUA